GGGUCAUUUCAAAGAGGGUUUGUGGGUAUGUGAAAACAGCUCUUAACGCUAUGACCAGAGACUAAAGUUCUCCACAGGAUGUCUCCACAAAAACAGUGCUGUUUUCCUGAAGAGAAGAAAGA
ensembl:snoRNA